rnacentral:rRNA from 1 species
CGACUCUUCUUCCGGAAGAAGUCUUCCUUCUUUA